GUUACGCCAGCAACAGCAGGUUAGGCAACUCAAUGAGAAUGCACAACAAACUAGUAGCAACGAGGAUUUAAGUUUAGUUCCCACAUUCGGCACAUGGUAGAGCAAACGUAAUGAACUGAAACAUCCGGCAAAUCAUCGAAUUAACAACAUCCUAACUUACAACAUUAUAAGCUCAUAAACCCCAGCUUUUCGACUAAGUAAGGCUGAUGGGUACCAUUGACUAAGUAAGCACACAACAACCCCCCAAUUCAAGCUCAAACUGGCUGGCAUUGCCAUGGGGCCGCACGGCACGGUGGUUUUCGGUUGCUUCAAUUUUUCGCAGCUUCAUGUUCCACUUCGUCCCAGCGGUAUAUGCUGCCAUCCUUGCUGCAGGCAACGAACGUGCUGAAGAAUGGAAGAAAAGAAGAAGAGUGACACACAAUUCUCAUGCGCCAACACCAAAACCAGACUUGAAAGAAGAAAAACUAUGAUGGAUGCACAUAGCACGCAUGAGAGGCUAUAUCCAUAAAAGUACAGGAUCAGAGGUGGCGAACGGAACAUGGUGAUGUACCUUCCGUCAAACGACACUGCAGUCUGCCUUAUUGUAAUUUUGCAUUGCGGACUACUCAGCCUGGAAAUUAUCAGUAUGUACAUGCAGGAACAUACAAGUUAAUAGCUAGCACCACCACAACAUGCAGGGGAGGAGAAACUGGGAAUAGCUGAACUUGCUUGGUUAAACUUACAUGGUAAUUAGCUCAGGAGGGCACGUCUGCACAUCCCACACAUAGAUUUUGCCUUCACGGUUGCCUGUUUACGAGCAAACGAUUAACCACAAGAGUUACAUUUUGAAUUUCAUCUAACCCUGAUCAGGUGCAUGUAGAUGAGUUCGUUUACGAGCAAACGAUUAGCCACAGGCAUGUUUUCUACAAAUAUCAGUUUUUCACGUGUAUAAGUACGGCCAUCCUCAGAAACUUGUUGACAAUCACAUAAGUACAAUACAUAAAUAUGUCCGUAGAUAAUAAUUUCAAUAUAAAGUGUUACCUAUUGCUAAUUGAUUGAAGUGAAAAUCACAUGAAAAUUUGAUAAACCAAAUGUCACAAUCGGGCACAGGGUACUUCUGAAGAACAUCAAUGCUAUCUCCCUAAUAAUAAAACAUUGAUUGAGUCUCUGGGUUCACCGUCACGUUAGUUUUCCAUUAAAGCCCUUGUGUUUUUCGGUUCUGAAACCCGCAGUCCAGCAAAUAAGAAAAAAAUUGUUUUGCACUGCUGCUUCGUGGCGAGUCCGCGGCCCGCCGAGACCCAGGUCGGGCCCUGGGAAACCCAUCCAGGCCCAAGCCAAUCCGAGCCGCGCCUGUACGCAACCGCUUCCCCGAGCUCCCUCCUACGCCCGACCGCACCAGCAACACCUCCUCCACCUCGCCUCACCACCGGCGAGGGAUUGAAACAAUAAGGAAGAAAAGAGAGGGAUUUCGGGUGUGACAAAGAAAAAUAAGAAACAAAAGAAUAAAUAAGGAAUAAAAUGAGGAAGGAUAUAAAAUGAAAGAAUGAAACCCGUAAAAAUAGAAGGAAACAAUAAAUAAAAAGAAAGGGGAAUUAAGUUGAGAGAAGGAAAGCUUCCAUGCGCAAGACGAGGGACAGACUCGAGAACAAGACAUCUGGACACAUAAAAAUUAGAGAAGAGGAAGAAUAUAUAAAAAACAUGUUCUUCAUGGACGCAUUUUGAGUUGUUUAGAGAAACAUUCGUACAAGUUUUUUUUAUGGAACAUGCAUACAAGUUGAGCUUACGUGAGCACUUAAAAAAUUAGAUGCCUUUGCACUAGAAAAAGAAACUUAGAUCGUGGUCAAUCAAGAUUUUGUGUUGUUCAAAAAAAUUAAUGGGCUGCACUAACACACGAUUUACACAACAUCACCCACGGAGGACAUGACAAUAGCAAGCAAUCGGAUCAUCGUCACAUGCGCAGCCGGUCUCACACAUUAAGUGGCGUGGGAGAUCUUUGGACAACACUUCUAAUAUUUAUUUUGUUACUCGUGCGGUAGUGUGGAGGAUUUCAAGGAGCUUGUUUAUGUCGUCAUGUCUGGUGAUAGGUCAUGGGGAAAGGGGUAGGAGGAGGAAGUAUUGAGCCAUUGCGUUAGUGAAGUGACAUUUUUUUGUCUCCCGUUGCAAUGCACGGGCAUUUGUGUGCUAGUCCUGCAUAUGGAAUGAAGAAUCACUUCAGAUGAAGGCACAUAGUAUGGCCGGCAUCAUUUUUAUAAACAAAGGAGCACAACCAGAACUAGUUUGGAUCAGUACAAAAGUAUAAUUUGUUAAGCCCUAUAGUUCUUUAAAAGUAAAACUGCAUCACCUCGCCGUGACCCUGCUCUUUUGUUUUUGGCUCCCACAGAACAAUUUCAUUUUCAACACUCUGCAAGUUCAAGGCGAAGCAGAUCAGAUGUUCUCAUCCUUCAGGAAAUAAUUAAACCAGCAUUGAGAAACAGGUGGCAGCACUAAUCUUUGAUAUAAAAAGAGACUGUAAAGUAUGAUAUUACAGGUUUCAGGUAUAGUCUGAAAUUUUGCACCAGUAAGCAUUCUAGCACUGUGUUCACACUAAUUCGUCUCUCCUACAAAAAUGAGCAAUUUACCUUCGACAGGAUGAAGUCACCAAGCCACCUAGUACAGUCAACAUAGUUAGAAUGCACCACGCAAGUCAUAAGCUGAAAGGGGAUAGAUCAGCACGAUGCUGAGAGGGUUAAGAACAAUACUAAAAGUUUGCAUAAUAACAGGUUCAAAGAUGAGAGAUACUUAACAUACCGGAAAUUGGACAACUUUUGUUGGAAAUUUUGAUGGAAGGUCAGUCCAUGUAAAGGAUUUCUUCACGUAUGGCGAAAAUUCUAUGACAACAUUAACAAACCAUGUCAGUUAUCAGCAGUAAUAAAAUGUAAAUAGGAAGCAAGAUUGAUGAAAUGGUUCUCUAACCUUUCAUUGACCAUAUUUUAACUGUAUUAUCCAUGCCACAACUGGCAAUUCGGUGCACAUCAGAAGGGUGGAAGUCCUGAUAUAACGGAAGUAUGAAUGAAAGGACAGUUAGUGCCGAGAUAACAUGUUUUAUUUUUCAGUGAUACUAACUAAAAUUUGAUCCCCUCAAUAAUGCCAGUAGCUGGAAGACAUGUUUUAACUAUAUUUAGAGUGUGUUCGGAUUUAGUCCAAGCUAGCCUUGACAAAUAUUUGGCUAGCUAUAAUUUUGGUGAAGAUUUUGCUAGCCCAUAAUUUGUCCAACAUUGGUAAGAAAACUGAACUAGGGUGGCCAAACGAGCAUUGGCAUGCCAGAAAAUUGGCCAUGAUCCUAACAAAGACCAAGUUUUUGAUUAUGAACGAAAUAUUGGUAGGGUAGCUUUUGGACACAAUCCAAACAUAUCUUCGGGCAGUGAAGUGAGUGGUAAUAUAAAACAAUGUCACUAUAGGAGGUAGGUGUAACUUACAACACUCAAUACAUCAUGACGGUGACCUCCUCCUCCAGCAAAAAUCAAGAUGCAGAUCCCUGUAUGGACAUUCCAUAGCCUAACAGACUCGUCCUAUAAGGCCAUAUAAACUGCGUCAGAAAGGUAAAAGGCAUAGGUAUACCCAGCAUCACACCAGGUUAUCUGCCAACCUUGCUUGCAGAAAUGAAGAGCGAAGGAUUCAAUGGUUGAGUUCUGAUCUCAUUUAUUGAACCACCAUGGCCAAUAAAACUCUGCAUGAUUUGUAAGACGAAAUAAGAAACUUACUCCAUGUUCGUAAUCAUUAGUUUAGGAUAUUGAAUCGUCAUAUGUAUGCCCAAUUUCAUUACUACCUCAGAAGAAUAGAUCUGCUAGGUUGUAUCCAUCAGUCCUAAAAUAAGUGUCUCAACUUUGUACUAACUUUAGUACAAAAUUGUACUAAAGUUGAGACACUUAUUUUGGGACGGAGGGAGUACAUGUUUUCACCAUGCUAGACGUAUUAAAGUAUUUGACAUCUACAAUCUCUUUCGGAGAAAAAUAAGCUACUGCAUAGCAGAAACAGAACUUUUCCUAAAAAUCCAAAUCAUCAUCUCGAAUGGACAAUACAGGGAAACCAACAAUUAUCAAAUAAGUAACUGUUUUCAGAAAGGUCAUCAAAUAAGCAGCUGAAUAGUAGAUUGUAAAAUGUUUUAAAUAGUGGGCUAUGGAAAAUAGCGGCCGGCCUUCAAAUCAGCUAUAGCGGGCUAUAGCAGGCUAUUUGUGAAGGCGACCAUUUAGCGGCGGCACCCUGCUGAAAAGGCUAUAGCUUCGCUAUAGCCGGCUAUUUAAAACUAUGAGAUUGAUGCAAGUGAAACUUCAUCCAUCUUGGCCACAAUAACGAAGUAGAAAACUCUGGCACUGUUAUACCUUAAACAACUUCCCGGUGGCACAGUUGAUGACCCGAAUGACCAUAUUGGUUCCUGCUGCCACUAGCAGUGGUGUGCUGCGAAGGUCAGAAGCCCAGCUCAGAGUGUAGAAUGACUGAGCAUCCUGAGAUAAGAUGCAGACCUCAUCAGCCUCAGACAAAGUACAACUAAUAUAAGAAACUGAAGAUUCUAGAGAUUGUAAUGGAGCUUACGUCCGCAUCAAUGUAUGCUUGCAGAACAGCCAAGUUACCGUCGGGGAGGCCACGGUACGUUGUCACCUGCAAGAUCAACACGAUUAAGAACAUUCCCAAAUCUAAAGACAGAGCAAAGAUCGAGCGAGCGGGCAACCACAAAAGGCUUACACGAUUGCCGCCGGCGGUGGCGAAGACGUCGUAGUAGCGGGCGUCGAUGAAGUUGAAGCUGAUGGCGUAGAGCGGACGCUUGCCCUCAGUGUGCUUGCUGCAGAGCUUGAACUCCCGGCUCCCGCUGGGCACCAGCGACCCCACCGCCGCAUCGCACCCUAAACCCUGCACCGGGCGCAGGCUCGCCAUGGGCGCCGGGAGAGGCUGGGGCUCUGGCGCCUCCUCCUCCUCCACCGCCGCCUUCCCCUUCCCCUUCCCCCUACCCUUCCUCUCGGCCGGCGCUUUCGUGGCAGCGGCGGCGGUGGCUUGGGCGGGUGGGAUGGGGCGGCGCUGUGACCUCUGGCGCGUGUCGACCUCAGGCAUUGUCGUCGCGCUUCAGAGUUGAGAGAUUUGGGGUUUAAGCACCGCGCAGAAAUCAGAUUUACAUUUUCUUCUUGCGAAAAUCAAAUUAGGAAAGAAUCAAGUGGAUACUACAAAACUUUGUUGUAUCAAUAAAAGCAAUUAAUCGGGCACCUGCAGUUUACACUUGGAUUUACAUCUUCCAUUUUUAAAGAAAGAGGGGAUGCCUUCCGGGACAUCCCCAAGCUUAGACGCUUGAGUCUCCUUAAAUAUUUACUUGGGGUGCCUCCGGCAUCCCCAAACUUAAGCUCUUGCCUCUCUUUCUUCUUCUCACAUCGAGACUUUCUCGAUCAUCGAACACUUCAUCCACGCAAAACUUCAACAGAAAACUCGGUAAAAUCUGUUAGUAUAAUAAAGCAAAUCACUACUCUAAGUACUGUUGCAAACCAAUUCAUAUUUUGUUUUUGCAUUGUUUCUACUGUAAUAUAACUUUUUCAUGGCUUAAUCCACUGAUAUGAAUCGAUAAUUUCAUCAAAACAAGCAAACUAUGCAUCAAAAACAGAAUCUGUCUAAAACAGAACAGUCUGUAAUAAUCUAAACAUUGACCAUACUUCUGAUACUUGAAAAAUUCUACCAAAAUUAGUAAAAAUAAAAAGUUUGUAUAGAAAGACAGUGCAAAAAGAAUCAGAACCAUUUGACGUUCCAACUAAAAAUGUAAAAUUGCGCACUACAGCCAAAGUUUCUGUCCUGCACCGUACAAACCAUCAAGCAAAUGUAAACAUCCUAAAGGCAAACGUUGGCACAUUAUUUUUAUAAUAUAAUUAAAUUGUACAAGGGGAUAAUUAUUUUUUGUUGAAAAGUUUCUGUAAUCAAGAUUCAUGAAGUUUCCGUGAGCAUGAACAAAGUUCAAUGAGCUCUCCCACUUCAACAAUGCUUGUCUUUCUCACUUUCAUUUUCCUUUUUAAAAAAGUUUUGGGUUCCCUUCUUUAUUUUUGUUGUUUUUAAACUAUAUGACAGCACUUAACAGAAAUAAAUGACUCUCUAAAACUUAUGGGUUGUCUCCCUGGCAACGCUUUCUUUAAAGCCAUUAAGCUAGGCAUAUAGUGCUCAAGUGGCGAAUCCACCCGGAUCCCAAGGUAUAUCAAAGCCAAUUUUAAUUAACAAUGAUUUGUUAUUUAGUAGUGAGCACAAAGUAACAUAUAUCAUGCAACAACGAAGCCUAACUCUCUUUCUAUGCAUCGGCAUGUCAUAAUAGAACAAUUCAUGCACACAAAGUAAAGACCAAUGCAUAGUAUAAACAAUUUCUUGCAAUUUUAUCGUGUGGGAAACAUAAAGAGGUGGAGAUAUAGUUCCUCUCUUAUAAUAAUUGCAACUAGGGGCAGCAAGCACAUGCAUAUUAUAUCUAUCAAAAUCAUCAUGUGUAACGGUAAAAGGCAACCCAUCAAUAUAAUCCUUAAUAAGUGCAAACUUCUCCGAUAUAGUGUAGUUGGGAGAAUUCAAAAAGAUAAUAGGACUAUCAUGCGUGGGUGCAAUAGCAACAAUUUCAUGUUUACAUAAGGAACUAUAGAAAGUUCAUCUCCAUAAGCAUAAUUCAUAUUGGCAUCUUGGCCACAAGCAUAGCAAGCAUCAUCAAGAAGGGAUAUUUCAAAAGAAUCAACGGGAUCAUAGGAAUCAUCCUUCGGUAAGCACGAAGGGAAAUUAAAUAAUGGAUGAGUCGAAGAGUUAAUCUCAUUAGAAGGUGGGCACGGGUAGGUAAUCCACUCUUCCUCCUUUUGUUCUUCGCUCCCCUCCUCAUCUUUUUCAUCCAAUGAACUCACACUUUCAUCAAUUUUUUCUUCCAUAGACUUCUACAAAAUAUUAGUCUUUUCUUGGACAACGGAGACUUUCUUAAUAAGCGCAUUAAUAUAGAAAUUAUAUUCAUAAUUAUCAUAGCAAUAUUUCAAUAUAGCCAAAUUUUCAGGCCUAUAAACAUCAUCAUCAAAAGCUUCAUACUUUUCAAACAAAGAUUCAAUUUUAUAAGCACCCUUAAAAGCAACAAAUUCUUCUAUUUGUUCCACAUCAUAGUAAUCAUAUAUAGCAUAAGAAGCUAAGGUUUCAUUUUCAUUAAAUUUGCAUGAAAAGGGAAGGUGUGGAGCCUUCAUCCUGGAGCAACAAGUACAAUCAUAAAUCAAGCAUACUUGCUGAGCAUACCACUUCAAUAUAUAAAUUUGAUCCCAUAAUAGUUUCUCUUUUUGUGUCAAGCGAUAAUCCCUAAGGUAUUCACGUUGAUCCAACGUUACUCCCAUUACCAAAUUGAAUGGGGUUUUUUCAGGAUUAUUAAGGAAGUACAUAAUUUCUAUCACAUAACGAGCAUCGAGGGUUUUAGAAGGUUCCUCAUCUCCAUGAGUAGCAAGUAUAUACCUAUACUAAUUAUAGACUCCCAAGAAAUUACCACGUUAAUUAGAAAUUACCGGCCGUUCAUCUAAUGGGACUGAGUUAUAACGGUGUAGAUCCAUCCACAUAAUCCUUGCAAUCUAAGAAACCCCCAAUCUAGGCUCACGUAAAAAAUACCAAUCUAGGCUCAUGUAAAAAAAAACAAUUGAGGCUAGCCAUAACAAGGGAAAUUACCACGUUAAUUAGAAAUUACCGGCCGUUCAUCUAAUAGGACCGAGUUAUAACGGUGUAGAUCCAUCCACAUAAUCCUUGCAAUCUAAGAAAAAACCAAUCUAGGCUCACGUAAAAAAACCAAUCUAGGCUCACGUAAAAAAAACAAUUGAGGCUAGCCAUAACAAAAACCAAUCUAUCGUACUACUACUAUAGAAUUUCAGGAUCGAUCUAUCCAUAGGGAAUCCUCACGCAAUAUUUUUCUUCCUAUAUGCCUUCUCCCUCCCUUCUAUCCUCCAAUGUAUUCUUCUUCUUAUCCAAGAAGUCUGUCUCCGAUCGAUCCUGUCAUUUAAUAGGUAUAGAAGCCAGCCCUUCUUCACCCCUCUCGAUGCAGUUAUCCAUUACGACCUAUUGUGCUGGAACUACCAGGGCCGCAGCGGCGAACAAGAGAUUAUCCCCAAGCUGUCUGAGCAAUUGUACUAUUAUUAAUGGUAUUGACGAAAGAGAAACAUGUUGAACAGGAAACAUUGAUGCGGAUGAAUACAAAACUCGAUUGAACAUCUAGAGGAGGUUGAGGAGGACAGCGACAUGACAAGGGCCAUGGCUUUGUGGAGGGAAGAGGCGGCCGCUGGCUGGCUGCUCCUCGCGUGGCUGGACCCAAUGAAAGAUCAGCGAACAUUGCGUGAGUUCGUGCUUCUCCCCGCUUGAGGAAGGUCAACAGAGAAAAUCUGGGGCAGAGGGUGCGGGACGAGAUUGCACAGAGGAUUGGGUACAAGAUGUUGUUGCUCCUUGCCGCAGGAGGGUAGGAGGAUCGACGAAGGAGGUCGAGGCGGAUGGGAUGGGGGAGGAAGAACUGGCGUUGGGCAUAUUCUGCUGCAGGUCACUGCGGUAAGGGAUAUCGAUUUUGAUGGGCCUCAGAAUCAACUGUGAAUAGCGAAACACAUGUAUCAGUUUGCCAUAUGGUUGUAAUCAGACCACGAGCCAAAAUCUGCGAAACAAACACAACCUUCAUGGCCAUAGUCAAUCGAACAUAAGUACGUAAUUGUCACUGUUUCGUCUAUCUAGAUAUCUCAACAUCAUCUUGCGACGCUGCGAGGUGAAUAUUACUUAUGGUUUAGCCGUUUAGGCCAUUGAUCUGGCCAUGUACACUGGCCAGCAGCGAAGGACAGUGAUUAGAUUCCCAACUGAUUGUGGUCAUCUUCCAACCCAGAUGCAUAAAGCCAUGAACUCGCAUUAUACAACUUAUAUAGGGAUGGCAUUACCGUGGCUUCCAUGUUCUUGAUUACGUCGAUGGUGAUUAUCCUCUCGGCGCUCUUCAUACCCCUUGGAGUCUGGGCAAUUUCCUAUGCCUACUGGAGUCCAAGAUCAACAAAGAUGUCAGCAAGUCUGAUUCAACAAAACCAGAAGCCACGACUUCACAGAGAGCAGCGUAUGUAAUGAGGUCAGGCAUGCCGUGUCAGGGGGGAAAUCCUAUUUGGUUUAGAACUUUCUUAGUGUUAUUCUUGGUAGACUAACUAAGAUUGAGGAUAACAUAGUAAGAUACACACUUGCCUCCAUUAUCCCAGUAUGUUGAUUUCAUGUCAACCGAGAAGGAGGCACUAGGAAUUACAUGGCAGAUACCAUAUAUAUUGAAAACAUGAGCCAUGGAAACAAGGAAAGAAAAGUUAUUUUUCCUGUAAUCUAAUAAAGGAUGAGUAGGCCUUUCAUUGAAGAGCUUUUAUAUGGUUCAUGUAUGAAGAAGGAGCAAAUGAGAAUGAACAUUAUAGUCACACGAUUAAUCGGUGGAUCAUGGUGUUCGGCAAUAUACCAGGCUAAUUGAUGUUUGAGAGUACGUACGGAAAAUGACUUGAUGGAAGUAAACAACAUGGCAGCAAGGUGACUGGAUUUUCCCUUUUUUUGGCAACUCAUUUACAUUUAUUUCAAAUAAGUUACCAAUGACAUGCGAAAAAGAAGGACAAAUCUUAUGUUCUCUAGGUAUGCACAUUUUUCAUGCUUUCGUGUUUCUUUUUCUUGUGCUUCAAUCGGUGGUAGCAAUGUCCAUCGAGACCAGAUUUAUUUUAAUCUAUGGGGCAACAUGUUCCAGAGUAUAUCAUUUUUUUUGCGGGCUAUAUCGUUAUUAAUUGUGCGCUAACACAAACAAUUGCCCAGUUACAUAUUAAGUGGUGUCACUAGCUUAGUGUCCAUGGGGAGCCUAAGUUGCCGCCUGUUAGCAGACCGAAGCCCUUCGGUAACCACCUGAACUUUGCCAUGCUCCUGAGGUAUGGCGUACACUGCUGCAUGUUUCCUGUAUGGUAUAAUCUUCACUUUUUUCUACGAAGUUGUCUAUAUUCUAAAUAUCUUAUUUUCUAUUGAAGUGACAGAGGAUGAGAGGAUGAUGAACCAACGGCCAAGCCUAUAGGAUUUGGCAAGCAUAAUAGUAUCAAAUUUUAGUCACGCAUGAUGAUUCAUGAAUUUAUAACACGAUCAUAGUUAUGCGAAUUUUGUAUUAGCUACCACAUAUAUUGAUAUAAUUAAUUUUUUAGUAAUAUCAGUUUUUCAAAAUAUAUUUGUACAUGUACUUCGAAUGUACAAAAUAAAGGCCAUACCAUAGUUAAAUUGAAAUAGUUAAAAAAAGUUCAAAACAUAUUAAAUAAUAUAUUAUAAGGAUUGAAAUGGAAAUCCUAUGCGCUACACCAUGACAUGUCUGCAUCAAUUAUACAAUUAAUUCUUCUAUGUAUAUUAAAUUAUUAAUAAAAAAGGAUGAUCAUGUUUCAACUGACUAACCAAAAAAAAUAUGCAUUUAAUGUCAUAUGCACCUCUCUCCAUUUCUAAUUAGCCCGUGCGAAUGCACCGGUGGACGACUAGCACACCUAAUUUUUUUUGGUAUUUCGUGUUCCAUAUCUAUAACUAAAGAUAAAAAAUAACUAAGAACAUCAAAUAAAAAUUACUUAGUGAUAAAGCAAACAAGCACAUACGAGAAUAUUCACCCCACGCUAUUGCUCCCCGGCAACGGCGCCAGAAAAAGGUCUUGAUAACCCACAAGUAUAGAGGAUCACAACAGUUUUCAAUAAGUAAGAGUGUCGAACCCAACGAGGAGCUAAAGGUAGAACAAAUAUUCCCUCAAGUUCUAUCGACCACCAAUACAACUCUACGCACGCUUGCCGUUCGCUUUACCUAGAACAAGUAUGAAACUAGAAGUACUUUGUAGGUGUUGUUGGAUAGGUUUGCAAGAAUAUAAAGAUCAUGUAAAUAAAAGGUAGGGGCUGUUUAGGUAAAGACACAACUAAGUUAGUUUUAGUAAAGAGAUUUUUGUUACGAGAAAGUUAUUUGUCCCUAGGCAAUCGAUAACUAGACCGGUAAUCACUAUUGCAAUUUUAUUUGAGGGAGACGCAUAAGCUAACAUACUUUCUCUAGUUGGAUCAUAUGCACUUAUGAUUGGAACUCUAGCAAGCAUCCGCAACUACUAAAGAUCAUUAAGGUAAAACCCAACCAUAGCAUUAAAGUAUCAAGUCCUUUUUAUCCCAUACGUAAACAACCUACUUACUCGGGUUUGUGUUUCGGUCACUCACGCAACCCACUAUAAGCGAAUCGUGAACGUAUUGCAACACCCUACAGCGGGGAUCCCUCACGCUUGCGCGACACGGAGAGCACCAUAGGACAGCACCAAUAAUAAAACAUGCAACUCAAACCAAUAUUGAUCAUCAAAUAGCCCAUAGGACAAAACGGAUCUACUCAAACAUCAUAGGAUAGCUAUACAUCACUGGGAAAUAAUAUAUAGCGUUGAGCACCAUGUUUAAAUAGAGAUUACAUCGGAUAAGAGAGAGGUUACACCGCUGCAUAGAGGGGGGAAGAGUUGGUGAUGAAGGCGGUGAAGUUGUUGGUGAAGAUUGCGAUGAUGAUGAUGGCCCCCGGUGACACUCCGGUGCCACCGGAAGCGAGGGGGAGAGAGAGCCCCCUCCUUCUUAUUCUUCCUUGACCUCCUCCAUAGAUGGGAGAAGGGUUUCCCCUCUGGUCCAUGGCCUCCAUGGCGUGGGAUGGGCGAGAGCCCCUCCGAGAUUGGAUCUGUCUCUCUGUCUCUCUCUGUUUCUGCUUCUCAGAUUCUACCUUUUCACCGUUUCUUAUAUUCUCGGAGAUCCUUAACUCCGAUUAGGCUGAAAUUUUAACAUGAUCUCUAUCUGGAUAUUAGCUUUCUUGCGGCGAAAGAAGGGCAUCAACCGCCUUACGGGGUGGCCACGAGGGUCAGGGGCGCGCCUGCCCUCCCUGCGGCGCGCCCCCUGCCUCGUGGCCCCCUCGACCAUCGUCUCGCGUUGAUUUCACUUCCCAAAAAUCACAUAUAUUCCAAAAAAUCUUCGUCCGUUUUUACCCCGUUUGGACUCCGUUUGAUAUGGAUUUUCUGCGAAACAAAAAACAUGCAACAAACAGGAACUGGCACUAGGCACUCGAUCAAUAUGUUAGUCCCAAAAAUUGUAUAAAAAGUUGCGAAAAGUAUAUGAAAGUUGUAGAAUAUUGGCAUGAAACAAUCAAAAAUUAUAGAUACGACGGAGACGUAUCACGCACCAUGUCCAUAAGUGUACGGUUGCGCCUUUCAGCUCCAUUUUGUUGAGACUCGCCCGGCAUUGAAUACUGGGCUACUAUGCCAGUAUCCUGCAAGAACUUCACAAAAGGUCCAGGGACUUGGCCAUAUGGAGUGUGCCGACCGUAGUACUCUCCCCCACGGUCGGACCUUACUAUAUUUAUUCUUUUAUCAUGCUGAUUUUCAACUUUAGCUUUGAAUAUUUUAAAUUUAUCGAACGCUUCAGAUCUUUCUUUGAUUGGAUAAAUAUAACCAUAGCGAGAGUAAUCAUCUAUGAAUGUUAUGAACGAGUCACAUCCUUCCACACUUUUCACCGAAAAUAGUCCACAAAUGUCAGUGUGGAUGAUUUCUAGUGUGCUUGUGCUUUGGAUUGCACAUUUUUUGAUUUGUUUUAUGUACUUUCCUUUAAUGCAAUCUAUGCAUUGUUCUAAGUCUGAGAAUUCUUACGCAGGAAGAAUUUCACUUUUGACUAAUCUUUCUAUUCUCCCCUUCAAAAUAUGGCCCAAGCGACAGUGCCUAAUUUCGAUGAGUCGAAUGUUCUCUUUCUUUUCUUUUAUUCUUUGUUGGACGCGGAAACAUGUUCAUUCACAUUGCAUAUAGAAUGCACUUUUUCACGAAGUGAUAACAAAUAAAGCUCAUCAUGUAGUAAAGCAUCACCCACAUAAGCAUUAUUAUACCAUAUGGCACACUUGCCAUGUCCAAAAUAACACUGAUAAUUUUCUUUGUCCAAACAUGAAACACUAAUUAAGUUUUAUUACAUGAAGGAACAUAAAGAACAUCUCUAAGUAGAAGCUUGAAUCCAUCAGCUAACUCCAAGGAGAUGUCGCCGACAGCUUCAGCUUCUGCUUGAAUUCCAUUUGCUACCUCAAUGCCUCUUUCUCUUCUUAGCAUAGCCCGGGUCGAAUGGAAUCCCUGUAAACAAUUUGCAACAUGAACAAUUGCUCCUGAAUCAAUCCACCAAGUAGAUUUCGUAAAACUGUGUGUACAAGGAUUCAUUAACUAAGGAAACAAUGUUGUUACCUUGCUUUGCCAUUAAGGACUUCAGCCAAACAGGGCAGUCUUUCUUGUAAUGCCCGGUCUGCUUACAGUGGAGACAAGUGUCUUUGUCCACUGGUAAAGGUUGUUGCUGACGCCGAUGCUGAUAGGGAGCUUUCCCUUGUGGCUUUGAAGGAGACCUUUUGUUGUUUUGAUUGUAAUUCUUUUUCUUGUGACCCUUCACAUAGUUGAGUGUACCACCAUGUGAGGCUUUGAGUCUGUCCUCUUCUUGGACACACAUUGCUAUUGUCUUUUCAAUGUCCCAUGUUCCAGGUGACAUAUUGUAGUUCACAACAAAAGCUUCAAACUCCUUUGGCAGUGAAGCCAUGACCAGGUGGACCAGGAGCUUUGGUUUGAUCUCUAGAUCCUCAUCCAUGGGCUUUAGCUUUGAUGACAUAUUGCUCAUCCUGAGGAUGUGCUCUCUUAUUCCAUGACUACCACCUGUGUAGUGUUCCGUCACCAGUUGCUCUAACACCUGGGUGGCAUAUUGUUGGGGAACGUAGCAAUAAUUCAAAAUUUUCCUACGUGUCACCAAGAUCUAUCUAUGGAGUCAUCUAGCAACGAGGGAGGAGUGGAUCUACGUACCCUUGUAGAUCGCGCGCGGAAGCGUUCAAGAGAACGGGGUUGAUGGAGUCGUACUCGUCGUGAUCCAAAUCACCGAUGAUCCUAGCGCCGAACGGACGGCACCUCCGCGUUCAACACACGUACGGAGCAGCGACGUCUCCUCCUUCUUGAUCCAGCAAGGGGGGAGGAGAGGUUGAUGGAGAUCCAACAGCACGACGGCGUGGUGGUGGAAGUAGCGGGAUUCCAACAGGGCUUCGCCAAGCGCUGCGGGAGGAGGGAGAUGUGUCAUGGGAGGGAGAGGGAGGCGCCAGGGCUUAGGUGUGGUUGCCCUCCCUUCCACCCCACUAUAUAUAGGGCCAAGGGAUAGGGGGGCCGCAGCCUUGGCCCUUCCUACAAGGAAGGGUGCGGCCAAGGGAGGAGUCCCUCCUCCCGAAGGCACCUCGGAGGUGCCUUCCCCCUUUAGGACUCUUCCUUUCCCUCUUCUCUUGGCGCAUGGGCCUCUUGGGGCUGGUUCCCUUGGCCCAUAUAGGCCAAGGCGCACCCCCUACAGCCCAUGUGGCCCACCGGGGCAGGUGGCCCCACCCGGUGGACCUCCGGGACCCUUCCGGUGGUCCCGGUACAAUACCGGUGACCCCGAAACUUGUCCCGAUGGCCGAAAUAGCACUUCCUAUAUAUAAUUCUUUACCUCCGGACCAUUCCGGAACUCCUUGUGACGUCCGGGAUCUCAUCCGGGACUCCGAACAACUUUCGGGUUACCGCAUACUAAUAUCUCUAUAACCCUAGCGUCACCGAACCUUAAGUGUGUAGACCCUACGGGUUCGGGAGACAUGCAAACAUGACCGAGAUGACUCUCCGGUCAAUAACCAACAGCGGGAUCUGGAUACCCAUGUUGGCUCCCAAAUGUUCCAUGAUGAUCUCAUCGGAUGAACCACGAUGUCAAGGACUUAAUCAAUCCCGUAUACAAUUCCCUUUGUCUAUCGGUACGACACUUGCCCGAGAUUCGAUCGUCGGUAUCCCGAUACCUUGUUCAAUCUCGUUACCGGCAAGUCUCUUUACUCGUUUCAUAACACAUCAUCCCGUGAUCAACUCCUUGAUCACAUUGUGCACAUUAUGAUGAUGUCCUACCGAGUGGGCCCAGAGAUACCUCUCCGUUUACACGGAGUGACAAAUCCCAGUCUCGAUUCGUGCCAACCCAACAGACACUUUCGGAGAUACCUGUAGUGUACCUUUAUAGCCACCCAGUUACGUUGUGACGUUUGGCACACCAAAGCACUCCUACGGUAUCCGGGAGUUGCAUAAUCUCAUGGUCUAAGGAAAUGAUACUUGACAUUAGAAAAGCUUUAGCAUACAAACUACAUGAUCUUGUGCUAGGCUUAGGUUUGGGUCUUGUCCAUCACAUCAUUCUCCUAAUGAUGUGAUCCCGUUAUCAAUGACAUCCAAUGUCCAUGGUCAGGAAACCGUAACCAUCUAUUGAUCAACGAGCUAGUCAACUAGAGGCUUACUAGGGACAUGGUGUUGUCUAUGUAUCCACACAUGUAUCUGAGUUUCCUAUCAAUACAAUUCUAGCAUGGAUAAUAAACGAUUAUCAUGAACAAGGAAAUAUAAUAAUAAUCAAUUUAUUAUUGCCUCUAGGGCAUAUUUCCAACAGUCUCCCACUUGCACUAGAGUCAAUAAUCCAGUUCACAUCGAUAUGUGAUUAACACUCAAGGUCACAUCCCCAUGUGACUAACACCCAAAGAGUUUACUAGAGUCAAUAAUCUAGUUCACAUUACCAUGUGAUUAACACUCGAUGAGUUCUGGGUUUGAUCAUGUUAUGCUUGUGAGAUAUGUUAUAGUCAACGGGUCUGAAUCUUUCAGAUCCGUAUGUACUUCGCAAAUCUCUAUGUCAUCUUGUAGAUGCAGCUACUACGCUAUAUUUGGAGCCAUUUUAAAUAACUGUUCUACUUGGAGCUAUUCUAAAUUGUUGCUCCAUUAUACGUAUCCGGUAUCUCUACUCAGAGCUAUCCGGAUAGGUGUUAAGCUUGCAUCGACGUAACUCUUUACGUCGAACUCUUUAUCACCUCCAUAACCGAGAAACAUAUCCUUAUUCCUCUAAGGAUAAUUUAGACCGCUAUCUGGUGAUCUACUCCUAGAUUACCUUUGUACCCUCUUGCCAGAUAUGUGGCAAGGCACACAUCAGGUGCGGUACACAGCAUAGCAUACUAUGGAGCCUAUGUCUAAGCAUAGGGGACGACCUUCGUCCUUUCUCUCUAUUCUACCGCGGUCAGGUUUCGAGUCUUACUCAAUGCUCACACCUUAUAACACAGCCAAGAACUCCUUCUUUGCCGAUCCAUUUUGAACUCCUUCAAAAUCUUGUCACGGUAUGUAUUCAUCUGAAAGUACUAUUAAGCGUUUUGAUCUAUCCUUAUAGAUCUUGAUGCUCAAUGUUCAAGUAGCUUAAUCCAGGCUUUCCAUUGAAAAACACUUUCCAAAUAACCCUAUAUGCUUUCCAGAAAUUCUACGUCAUUUCUGAUCAACAGUAUGUCAACAACAUAUAUUCAUCAGAAAUUCUAUAGUGCUCCCACUCACUUCUUUGGAAAUACAAGUUUCUCAUAAACUUUGUAUAAACCGAAAAUCUUUGAUCAUCAUCAAAGCAUACAUUCCAACUCCGAGAUGCUUACUCCAGUCCUUAGAAGGAUUGCUGGAGCUUUGCAUACUUAUUAGCAUCUUUCAGGAUUGACAAAACCUUCUGGAUGUAUCACAUACAACCUUUCCUCAAGAAAAACGUCGAGGAAACAAUGUUUUGACAUCCUAUCUGCAAGAUUUCAUAAAUAAUGCAGUAAUCGCUAAUAUAAUUCCAACAGACUCUUAGCAUCGCUACGAGUGAGAAAGUCUCAUCGUAGUUAACUCCUUGAACUUGUCGGAAAACAUCUUAACGACAAGUCGAGCUUUCUUUAAUGGUGACAUUUACCAUCAUUGUCCGUCUUCCUUUUAAAAUCCAUCUGUACUCAAUAGCCUUACGACCAUCGAGCCGUUCUGCCAAAGUCUACACUUUGUUUUCAUACAUGGAUCCUCUCUCGGAUUUUAUGGCCUCGAGCCAUUUAUCGGAAUCCGGGCCCACCAUCGCUUCUCCAUGGCUCGUAGGUUCAUUGUUGUCUAGCAACAUGACUUCUAAGAUAGGAUCACGUACCACUCUGAAGUAGUACGCAUCCUUGUCAUCCCACGAGGUUUGGUAGUGACUUGAUCUGAAGUUUUAUGAUCACUAUUAUAAGCUUCCACUUCAAUUGGUGUAGGUGCCACAUGAACAACUUCCUGUGCCCUGCCACACACUAGUUGAAGAGACGGUUCAGUAACCUCAUCAAGUCUCCACCAUCCUCCCACUCAAUUCCUUCGAGAGAAACUUUUCCUCGAGAAAGGACCCGAUUCUAGAAACAAUCCCUUAUUGCUUUCGGAUCUGAGACAGGAGGUAUACCCAACUGUUUUGGGUGUCCUAUGAAGAUGCAUUUAUCCGCUUUGGGUUCGAGCUUAUUAGCCUGAAACUUUUUCACAUAAGCGUCGCAGCCCCAAACUUUUAAGAAAUGACAGCUUAGGUUUCUCUAAACCAUAGUUCAUACGGUGUCAUCUCAUCGGAAUUACGUGGUGCCCUAUUUAAAGUGAAUGUGGUUGUCUCUAAUGCCUAACCCAUAAACUAUCGUGGUAAUUCGAUAAGAGACAUCAUGGUAUGCAUCAUAUCCAAUAGGGUGCAGUUAUGAUGUUCGGACACACCAUCACACUAUGGUGUUCCAGGCUGUAUUAGUUGUGAAACAAUUUCCACAAUGUCUUAAUUCUGUGCCAAACUCGUAAUUCAGAUAUUCAUCUCUAUGAUCAUAUCAUAGAUAUUUUAUCCUCUUGUCACGACGAUCUUUCAACUUCACCCUGAAAUUACUUGAACCUUUCAAUAAUUCAGACUCGUGAUUCAUCAAGUAAAUAUACUCAACAUCUACUCAAAUCAUCUGUGAAGUAAGAACAUAACGAUAUCCACUACAUGCCUCAGCACUCAUUGGAUUGCACACAUCAAAAUGUAUUACUUCCAACAAGUUGCUUUCUAGUUCCAUUUUACUGAAAACGAGGCUUUCAGUCAUCUUGCCCAUGUGGUAUGAUUUGCAUGUCUCAAGUGAUUCAAAAUCAAGUGAGUCCAAACGGUCCAUUUGCAUGGAGUUUCUUCAUGCAUAUACACCAAUAGACAUGGUUCGCAUGUCUCAAACUUUUCAAAAAACGAGUGAGCCCAAAGAUCCAUCAACAUGGAGCUUCUUCAUGCGUUUUAUACUGAUAUGACUUACGUGGCAGUGCCACAAGUAGGUGGUACUAUCAUUACUAUCUUUUGGCAUGAACAUGUGUAUCACUAUGAUCGAGAUUCAAUAAACCAUUCAUUUUAGGUGCAAGACCAUUGAAGGUAUUAUUCAAAUAAACAGAGUAACCGUUAUUCUCCUUAAAUGAAUAACCGUAUUGCGAUAGACAUAAUCCAAUCAUGUCUAUGCUCAAAGCAAACACCAAUCUCGAUGGUAGAGGGAGCGUGCGAUGCUUGAUCAUAUCAACAUUGGAAACACUUCCAACACAUAUCGUCAGCUCACCUUUAGCUAGUCUCCGUUUAUUCCGUAGCUAUUAUUUCGAGUUACUAACACUUAGCAACUGAACCGGUAUCUAAUACCCUGGUGCUACUAGGAGUACUAGUAAAGUACACAUCAACACAAUGUAUAUCCAAUAUACUUCUAUCGACCUUGCCAGCCUUCUUAUCUACCAAGUAUCUAGGGCAAUUCUGCUCCAGUGGCUAUUCCCCUUAUUACAGAAGCACUUAGUCUCGGGUUUGGGUUCAACCUUGGGUUUCUUCACUAGAGCAGCAGCUGAAUUGCCGUUUCAUGAAGUAUCCCUUCGUGCCCUUGCCCUUCUUGAAACUAGUGGUUUCACCAACCAUCAACAAUUGAUGCUCCUUCUUGAUCUCUACUUUUGUGGUGUCAGACAUCGCGAAUAUCUCAAGGAUCAUCAUAUAUGUCCCUGAUAUAUUAUAGUUCAUCACGAAGCUCAAGCAGCUUGGUGGUAAUGACUUUGGAGAACCAUCACUAUUUCAUUUGGAAGAUCAACUCCCACUCGAUUCAAAUGAUUGUUGUGCUCAGACAAUCUGAGCACAAGCUCAACAAUUGAGCUUUUCUCCCUUAGUUUGCAGGCUAAGAAAAUCGUCGGAGGUCUUAUACCUCUUGACGUGGGCACGAGCCUGCAAUCCCAAUUUCAGCCCUCGAAACAUCUCAUAUGUUUCGCGACGUUUCAAAACAUCUUCGGUGCCUCAACUCUAAGCUGUUUAACUGAACUAUCACGUAGUUAUCAAAAUGUGUGUGUCAGAUGUUCGCAACAUCCACAGACAACGUUCGAGGUUUAGCACACUGAGCGGUGCAUUAAGGACAUAAGCCUCUAUGAAGCAAUGAGGACACUCCUCAGUUUACGGACCUAGUCCGCAUAAUUGCUACUAUCAACUUUCAACUAAAUUUUCUCUAGGAACAUAACUAAACAGUAGAACUGAAGCGCGAGCUACGACAUAAUUUGCGAAGACCUUUUGACUAUUUCAGGAUAAUUAAGUUCAUCUUAUGAACUCCCACUCAGAUAGACAUCCCUCUAGUCAUCUAAGUGAUUACAUGAUCCGAGUCAACUAGGCCGUGUCCGAUCAUCACGUGAGACGGACUAGUCAACAUCGGUGAACAUCUUCAUGUUGAUCGUAUCUUCUAUAUGACUCAUGCUCGACCUUUCGGUCUCUUGUGUUCCGAGGCCAUGUCUGUACAUGCUAGGCUCGUCAAGUCAACCUAAGUGCACUUGUAGAAAACAGGGCUAUGGUCCAGGCUGGCUCAGCCCAUUAGUCCCGGUUCAGUGUAGAACCGGGACCAAUGUGGGCAUUGGUCCCGGUUCGUGAGCCCAGGGGGCCGGCCGGGCCAUGUGGGCCAUUGGUCCCGGUUCGUCUGGACCUUUUGGUCGCGGUUGGUGGGACGAACCGGGACCAAUGGGCCUCGCUCCUGGCCCACCACCAUUGGUCCCGGUUGGUGGCUUGAACCGGGACCAAAGGCUCCCCUUUAGUCCCGGUUCAUGCCACCAACCAGGACCAAUGAGGUGCCUAUAUAUACCCCCUCGCAUAAGAGCAGAGCACACUGCUCUGUUUUUUUCUGGCCGAGGGGGAGAGGGCUUGGUGGUGCUCUAGCUCACCUCCUAUGCACACAAGGUGUUCGAUGGAAUGCCCGAGCCACACUACUUAAGCUUUCUCCUCUCGAAGCUCGACCUCCAAGCUCCAUUUUCCUCGAGAUUUGUCUAGAUUUAGCGGUCCGUCACGCCCCGUCCCCAUCUUCACCGCCGUCGAUCACCCGCGCCGAUCUCAUCACCGACACCACCGUGGUGAGCCUCUUGUUCUUAUCUUCUUUCUGAAAGGAAAAAUAUUCUUACUUGUAUGUUUAGAUAGAUACUUGUAUCAUUUUUUUACAUUUAUUAUUGCAUCUUAUAUAGUGCGAUGGUUUUGGUAUCCGCCCCCGUCGGCCCUCGUCCUGUCUAUGAUUCGGAUUUGGUAUGUAUAUUAUCUUUAUAACUAUUGGUUCAUUUAUUGUUUAUGAAAAUUAUGCCGACCAACGUGACAUAGAUUUUAUUUAUCUAGGAUGUAUGUGAAUCGGAAAUGCCAACCGACCCUAUUGUCGAGAGGUUAAAUUUAGUUGAAGAAGAAAACAAUUUGUUGAAGGAAAAAAUAAAAAAAAUUGAGGAGGAGAAGAUGAUAUUGGAGUUGCAUGUUGCGGAUGUCGUCGAUGAUCACAAGAUCAAGAUGGAUGCAAUGCGCUUGAAGAUUAGAAAGAUUAGAAAAUAUGCCAUUCAUACCGAGGCUUGGUAUCAUUAUGCUGUUGGAUCAAUUGUUACCUUGGUUGCGAUUAUGAUCGCAUUUGUUUUCGCAUUGAAAUGUUUUACAUAGUUUCAAUGUAUGGUUUAAUUAAUCAGAUGCUCUGGAGAGCUAUAUGUUGUUAGAUGGGAACUAUGUAUGCACUUUGGUUUUAAUGUGAUGAUGAACUUCUAUUAAUUUGGACACUUAAUUAUAGAUAAUGCACGCAGAUGAACCGGCAAUGGAUGUACGGUGACAGACACACCCGCGAGUACAUUAAGGGCGUGCAUGAGUUUCUCGAUGCGGCUGAGGCAAACAAGCAGAAUGGUUUUAUGUGUUGUCCAUGCACUGAAUGUGGGAAUACGAGGUCUUACUCUAACCAGAAAAUCCGUCACUCCCACCUGCUUUACAAGGGUUUCAUGUCACACUAUAAUGUUUGGACGAGGCACGGAGAAAUAGGGGUUAUGAUGGAAGACGGCGAAGAAGAAGAGUACGAUGACAACUAUGUGCCCCCUGAAUACGGUGAUGCUGCAACGGGGGGAGCUGGUGAAGAUCAAGAGGAACCAGACGAUGUGCCCAAUGAUGCUGCCACGGGUGAAGCUGCUGAAGAUCAAGAGGAACCAGACGAUGUGCCCGAUGAUGAUGAUCUCCGCCGGGUCAUUGUCGAUGCAAGGACGCAAUGCAUUAGUCAAAAGGAGAAGCUGAAGUUCGAUCGCAUGUUAGAGGAUCACAAAAAAGGGUUAUACCCCAAUUGCGAAGAUGGCAACACAAAGCUCGGUACCGUACUGGAAUUGCUGCAGUGGAAGGCAGAGAAUGCUGUGGCUGACAAAGGAUUUGAGAAGCUACUGAAAAUAUUGAAGAAGAAGCUUCCAAAGGAUAACGAAUUGCCCGACAGUACAUACGCAGCAAAGAAGGUCGUAUGCCCUCUAGGAUUUGAGGUGGAGAAGAUACAUGCAUGCCCUAAUGACUGCAUCCUCUACCGCGGUGCAUACAAGGAUCUGAACGCAUGCCCGGUAUGCGGUGCGUUGCGGUAUAAGAUCAGACGAGAUGACCCUGGUGAUGUUGACGGCGAGCCCCUCAGGAAGAGGGUUCCUGCGAAGGUGAUGUGGUAUGCUCCUAUAAUACCACGGUUGAAACGUCUGUUCAGAAACGAAGAGCAUGCCAAGUUGAUGUGAUGGCACAGUGAGAACCGAAAGAAAGAUGGGAAGUUGAGAGCACCCGCUGACGGGUCGCAGUGGAGAAAAAUCGAGAGAAAGUACUGGGAUGAGUUUGCAAAGGACCCAAGGAAUGUAUGGUUUGCUUUAAGCGCGGAUGGCAUUAAUCCUUUCAGGGAGCAGAGCAGCAAUCACAGCACCUGGCCCAUGACUCUAUGUAUGUAUAACCUUCCUCCUUGGAUGUGCAUGAAGCGGAAGUUCAUUAUGAUGCCAGUUCUCAUCCAAGGCCCUAAGCAACCCGGCAACGAAAUUGAUGUGUACCUAAGGCCAUUAGUUGAAAAACUUUUACAGCUGUGGAAUGGAAACGGUGUACGUACGUGGGAUGAGCACAGACAGGAGGAAUUUAACCUUAAGGCAUUGCUGUUCGUGACCAUCAACGAUUGGCCCACUCUCAGUAACCUUUCAGGACAGACAAACAAAGGAUACCACGCAUGCACGCAUUGUUUAGAUGAUACUGAAAGUAUAUACCUGGACAAAUGCAGGAAGAAUGUGUACCUGGGCCAUCGUCGAUUUCUUCCGACCAACCAUCAAUGUCGAAAGAAAGGCAAGCAUUUCAAAGGCGAGGCAGAUCACCGGAAGAAGCCUGCCAUGCGCACUGGUGAUCACGUGCUUACUAUGGUCAAUGAUUUACACUACAUAAUCUUUGGAAAGGGUCCUGGUGGACUAGCUAUUCCGAAUGACGCUGAGGGACAUGCACCCAUGUGGAAGAAGAAAUCUAUAUUUUGGGACCUACCCUACUAGAAAGACCUAGAGGUCCGCUCCUCAAUCGACGUGAUGCACGUGACGAAGAACCUUUGCGUGAACCUGCUAGGCUUCUUGGGCAUGUAUGGGAAGACAAAAGAUACACCUGAGGCACGAGAGGACCUGCAACGUUUGCACGAAAAAGACGGCAUGCCUCCGAAGUAGUAUAAAGGUCCUGCCAGCUACGCUCUUACGAAAGAAGAGAAAGAAAUCUUCUUUGAAUGCCUGCUCAGUAUGAAGAUCACGACUGGCUUCUCAUCGAAUAUAAAGGGAAUAAUAAAUAUGCCAGAGAAAAACUUUCAGAACCUAAAGUCUCAUGACUGCCACGUGAUUAUGACGCAACUGCUUCCGGUUGCAUUGAGGGGGCUUCUACCGGAAAACGUCCGAUUAGCCAUUGUGAAGCUAUGUGCAUUCCUCAAUGCAAUCUCUCAGAAGGUGAUCGAUCCAGAAAUCGUACCAAGGCUAAGGAGUGAUGUGGCGCAUUGUCUUUUCAGUUUCGAGCUGGUGUUCCCACCAUCCUUCUUCAAUAUCAUGACGCACGUCCUAGUUCAUCUAGUCGACGAGAUUGUCAUCCUGGGGCCCGUAUUUCUACACAAUAUGUUCCCCUUUGAGAGGUUCAUGGGAGUCCUAAAGAAAUAUGUCCGUAACCGCGCUAGGACAGAAGGAAGCAUCUCCAUGGGCCAUCAAACAUAGGAUGUUAUCGGGUUUUGUGUUGACUUUAUUCCUGGCCUUAACAAGAUAGGUCUCCCUAAAUCGCGGUAUGAGGGGAGACUGACUGGAAAAGGCACUCUUGGAAGAGACUCAAUAAUAUGCAGGGACGGAUAUUCUUGGUCUCAAGCACACUACACAGUUCUACAGAACUCUACGUUGGUGACCCCGUAUGUCGAUGAACACAAGAACAGUCUGCGCUCCAAACACCCGGAGCAGUGCGACGACUGGAUUACAUGUGAACACAUCAGGACUUUCAGCAGUUGGUUGGAAACACGUCUCAGAGGUGACAACAUUGUUUGUGAUGAGUUGUACUUGUUGUCCAGGGGACCAUCUUUGACUGUAUUGACUUACAAAGGAUACGAGAUAAAUGGGAAUACAUUUUACACGAUCGCCCAAGAUCAAAAGAGCACCAACCAAAACAGCGGUGUCCGCUUUGAUGCAGCAACCGAGAGCGGAAAGGACACAUAUUAUGGUUACAUAGUGGACAUAUGGGAACUUGACUACGGACCUGAUUUUAAGGUCCCUUUGUUUAAGUGCAAAUGGGUCAAUCUGUUAGGCGGCGGGGUACAGGUAGACCCACAGUACGGAAUGACAACAGUGGAUCUGAAAAAUCUUGGGUACACUGANNNNNNNNNNNNNNNNNNNNNNNNNNNNNNNNNNNNNNNNNNNNNNNNNNNNNNNNNNNNNNNNNNNNNNNNNNNNNNNNNNNNNNNNNNNNNNNNNNNNNNNNNNNNNNNNNNNNNNNNNNNNNNNNNNNNNNNNNNNNNNNNNNNNNNNNNNNNNNNNNNNNNNNNNNNNNNNNNNNNNNNNNNNNNNNNNNNNNNNNNNNNNNNNNNNNNNNNNNNNNNNNNNNNNNNNNNNNNNNNNNNNNNNNNNNNNNNNNNNNNNNNNNNNNNNNNNNNNNNNNNNNNNNNNNNNNNNNNNNNNNNNNNNNNNNNNNNNNNNNNNNNNNNNNNNNNNNNNNNNNNNNNNNNNNNNNNNNNNNNNNNNNNNNNNNNNNNNNNNNNNNNNNNNNNNNNNNNNNNNNNNNNNNNNNNNNNNNNNNNNNNNNNNNNNNNNNNNNNNNNNNNNNNNNNNNNNNNNNNNNNNNNNNNNNNNNNNNNNNNNNNNNNNNNNNNNNNNNNNNNNNNNNNNNNNNNNNNNNNNNNNNNNNNNNNNNNNNNNNNNNNNNNNNNNNNNNNNNNNNNNNNNNNNNNNNNNNNNNNNNNNNNNNNNNNNNNNNNNNNNNNNNNNNNNNNNNNNNNNNNNNNNNNNNNNNNNNNNNNNNNNNNNNNNNNNNNNNNNNNNNNNNNNNNNNNNNNNNNNNNNNNNNNNNNNNNNNNNNNNNNNNNNNNNNNNNNNNNNNNNNNNNNNNNNNNNNNNNNNNNNNNNNNNNNNNNNNNNNNNNNNNNNNNNNNNNNNNNNNNNNNNNNNNNNNNNNNNNNNNNNNNNNNNNNNNNNNNNNNNNNNNNNNNNNNNNNNNNNNNNNNNNNNNNNNNNNNNNNNNNNNNNNNNNNNNNNNNNNNNNNNNNNNNNNNNNNNNNNNNNNNNNNNNNNNNNNNNNNNNNNNNNNNNNNNNNNNNNNNNNNNNNNNNNNNNNNNNNNNNNNNNNNNNNNNNNNNNNNNNNNNNNNNNNNNNNNNNNNNNNNNNNNNNNNNNNNNNNNNNNNNNNNNNNNNNNNNNNNNNNNNNNNNNNNNNNNNNNNNNNNNNNNNNNNNNNNNNNNNNNNNNNNNNNNNNNNNNNNNNNNNNNNNNNNNNNNNNNNNNNNNNNNNNNNNNNNNNNNNNNNNNNNNNNNNNNNNNNNNNNNNNNNNNNNNNNNNNNNNNNNNNNNNNNNNNNNNNNNNNNNNNNNNNNNNNNNNNNNNNNNNNNNNNNNNNNNNNNNNNNNNNNNNNNNNNNNNNNNNNNNNNNNNNNNNNNNNNNNNNNNNNNNNNNNNNNNNNNNNNNNNNNNNNNNNNNNNNNNNNNNNNNNNNNNNNNNNNNNNNNNNNNNNNNNNNNNNNNNNNNNNNNNNNNNNNNNNNNNNNNNNNNNNNNNNNNNNNNNNNNAUCUAUUUUUAUAGUAAAGUUAUUCAUAAACUAGUGAUUCACACAAAUUUUUAAAAAUUCAAAUUUAAACUAUUUAAAAUUUAAAACUAAUGGCACUAACAGAAAGUUUAUAAUUUUUGUGACCUAAAAGCAAAAAGAAAUCACUAAAAAACUGUAAGUAUUUAGUUUUAAGUAGAAAUAAUAAAAUAAAAAACCAAAAAAAUAUAGAAAUAAAAAAGAAAAAACCAAAAAAUGCCUCCUACUGGGCCUCCACGGCCUGAAUACGACUAGAAACCCUACAUGGGCCAGGAUUCAGGCCCGCAGAAGGCCCAAUAGGCCCACAGGCAGUAGCAAGUUUAGGCCCGAAAGCCUGCAUUAGAGAGGAGCUCGAAUGGGUGGGCACACCAGCGCUUAUAAACCAGUGCCGGCGCCCCUCAGCUAGCGAUGUGGGACUAAACUUUUGGGCUCGGGGCAGCGAAGGCCAUUGGUCCCGGUUGGUGGCACCAACCGGAACUAAAGGGGGCAUUGGUCCCGGUUCGUGGCACCAACCGUGACCAAUGCCCCCCUUUAGUCCCGGUUGGUUCCACCAACUGGGACCAAAGGCCGCCGCUUCCCGCCCUUUGGGCUGCUGAAAAUUGGCCUUUGGUCCCGGUUCGUGGCACCAACCGGGACUAAAGGGGGCAUUAGUCCCGGUUUGUGCCACCAACCGGGACCAAUGCUCCGUCUAUAUAAGCCACACUUGUGAAAAUUUUGGUUCAGUUUCUUCGAUCCCGCCCCGACGUCGCCGCCAGGCUGCCCCUCUGCUCGCCUCGCCGUCGCUGCCGUUGCCCCUGCCCCGCCCCCGAGCGCGCCCUACCUCGCCGUCGUCGCCGNNNNNNNNNNNNNNNNNNNNNNNNNNNNNNNNNNNNNNNNNNNNNNNNNNNNNNNNNNNNNNNNNNNNNNNNNNNNNNNNNNNNNNNNNNNNNNNNNNNNNNNNNNNNNNNNNNNNNNNNNNNNNNNNNNNNNNNNNNNNNNNNNNNNNNNNNNNNNNNNNNNNNNNNNNNNNNNNNNNNNNNNNNNNNNNNNNNNNNNNNNNNNNNNNNNNNNNNNNNNNNNNNNNNNNNNNNNNNNNNNNNNNNNNNNNNNNNNNNNNNNNNNNNNNNNNNNNNNNNNNNNNNNNNNNNNNNNNNNNNNNNNNNNNNNNNNNNNNNNNNNNNNNNNNNNNNNNNNNNNNNNNNNNNNNNNNNNNNNNNNNNNNNNNNNNNNNNNNNNNNNNNNNNNNNNNNNNNNNNNNNNNNNNGCCGCCGAGCGCGCCCCGCCGUCGCCCUUGCCCUCGCCGACCCCGAGCCCGUCCUCGUCGCCGUCGCCCCCGACGCCUGCCGCCCGCGUCUCCUCCCCGAUCCCUCCGGGAGAGGUAGCUACCGCCCCAUCCUCCCCCCUUCCUUCCUUCCCUUCUCCAUAAUUUGCAAAAUAUUGAUAUGAUGUAGAUGUAUGUAUGUAUGUAUGUAUGAGUUGGGGAGAAAGUUUAUAAUUUUUGUUCAUAUAUACUGUACAUGUAUGUAUGAUGAAUUUUGAUAUUUUUUUGUUCAUAUAUAAUGUAGAUGUAUAUGUAUGUAUGGAAUGAUAUCGAUGGAUGUAUUGAUAUAUUUUUUUUGUUCAUAUAUACUGUACAUGUAUAUGUAUUCAUGAGAGAGGCGAGGAAGAAGGGGAAGAAGAGGGAGAAGAAGAGGAGAGGAAGAAGAGGAAGUCUUCUCCUCUAUUCUUUCUUCUCUUCUUUAUUCUUCUUCUUCUUCCUCUUUAUUUUAUCGGGAACGAGGGUCAUCGAGAGGUCGAGGAGCGGUAGAGGAGAAACCCUAAAUAGAAAGUAUCGUCAGUGUGAGAUACAUGUACCGUCGGUGUCAGACACUACACCCACAUCCCACAAGUGGCGCGGGCUUCGACGCCCACGUCACUUGUGGGACGUGGAUGUAGUGUCCGACACCGAAGGCCACAUGUAUCUCACACCCACGAUACUUGCUAGCUAUUUAGGGUUCCUCUACCGAAAAGAAGAGGAGAAAUAAAUAAGAAGAAGAAAAAAGAAGAAAAAGAAGAGGAGAAGAAGAAAGGAAUAGUGGAGAAGAAUAGAAAAUAGAAUAUAUUCUAUUUUCUCUUCUUCUCCACUAUUCCUUUCUUCUUCUCCUCUUUUUUUCUUCUUUUCUUCUUUUCUUCUUCUUCUUCUUCUUCUUCUUCUUCUUCUUCUUCUUAUUAGCCGGAAGUAGAGAGAGGUUUCCUAGUGUCAAAGUAUUGAAGAAAUCCAUGCCUUCAUCAUUAGCCGGAAGUAACCAGGGCAUGUUGGUACGAAGUUCUGCAAAGUUGUUCUGGAAUGGAGUCCCGGAUAGAAUAAUCCGCCUUUUGGUACGAAUUCAGCAAAGGCCUUCCAAAUAGCGAUAUUCGGAAGGCUCUUGCUGAACUUUGUACCAAAAAGCGAAUUAUCCUAUCUGGGACUCCGUUCCAGAACAACUUUGAAUAGCUUCGUACCAUCAUGCACAUGUUACUUUCGCCUAAUGAUGAAGACAUGGUUUUGUUGAAUCCCUUGACACUAGGCAACCUCCCGACCCCUCGGUGAUCCUAUCGAACAUGAGAGGAAGAAGAGGAUAAAAAAAGAAGAGGAAGAAGAAAAAAAAGAGGAGAAGAAAGAAUAGAGGAGAUCUUCUCCUCUAUUCUUUCUUCUCCUCUUUUUUUUCUUCUUCUUCCUCUUUUUUUAUCGGGAACGAGGGUCGUCGAGGGACAUAGAUGUAGUGUCGUCGUUGUCGAUAUAUACCCCCUCCCGAUAGCUUACUAUGAUUAGGUAGCUAGUUCUACGUUUGGCACUAAUAUAUCCAUCUGUCAUGUUUGAAUAAUAAUUGCCAUGUUGUAAAUAUUUGUAGAAACUAUGGACAACGCCCUAGACGAAGCAACAAAAGAAGCGUUGUUGAGGGACAUAAUCGCAGAAGGAAGUGAUGCCAUCUCGUUGUUUCUCAACGAAACCGAUGGUCUGGAAGGAGAGGGUGAACAAGCUGGCUACGGUGACCUAAUGCCGGUGCAAGAAGAAGAACAUGAGGACGGCUCCGGUGACCCAAUGCCGGUGCAAGAAGGAGACCGUGAUGACGGCUCCGGUGACCGAACCGAGUCCGGCCAGGUAUAUAUAUUAGUUAAGCCUAUGCUGACUAGCUGAUUGAUGCAUUCAUUGUUUUAGUAUGUACACAUAUUAAUUAAGUCUUUGUUCUUUUUUCUAGCCCUCCGAAUCGAGCACAACUUCGGUAAAGAGACGAGGCCCGAAGAAAAAGUUGAGCUCGGAUGAAAAGUUUGAGAUCAUAGCAAUCGCGCCCGACGGCCAACCUAUUGAACCCCUCCGGACAAAGAGUGCAUUUGUUGCUCAGUGCGGGGUUCUGGUUAGGGACAAGAUCCCGAUAAGCAUCCAGCAAUGGUUUAAGCCGGCUACAGAAGACCCUGAGGUGUCUUAUGUCAAUGAUAUGCAGAAAAAUGAUCUUUGGACUGAGCUGAAGUCAAAUUUCACCCUACCGCUUGAGGAUAAUCCAGAGAACCCAGUUAAAGAGAAAUUAAUCAAGUCUUUUGCUCUAAAGAGGAUGGCAGAACUAUUCAGGAGGUGGAAGAAAGAGCUGAAUAAGUUUGUCGAAAAUAAUGAGACACCAGAAUUCAAGGGCAGAUAUGAGAAGAUCAGAGAUCACUGGCCCGCAUUUGUGGCCCACAAGACAUCAGAAAAGAGUAAGAUGAUGUCAGUGACAAACAAGUAAAAUGCUGCGAAGAAGAAGCUUCACCAUCGCACGGGGUCAGGUGGCUACCUCGUAGCCCGGCCUAAGUGGUCCAAGACUGAGAAUGAUCUGGUUCAUAAAGGGAUCGAACCAGAGACAAUUAACUGGCCAGACCGUUGCCGGACUUGGUUCUUCGGGGCUGGCGGAACACUGGACCCUGUAACAGGGAAGUGCAUUUGGACGAACGAUCAAAUGGACAUACCAGUUAGUAAGCUUAAGCAGUAUAUCGAAGCAGUGCAGGAAGGGACGUUCUUUCCAGAUAGAGAGAACGACAAGCUCACAAUGGCCCUCGGGAAUCCUGAGCACCCUGGACGGACACGAGGCACGCCAGGCUCCAUUCCGUGGAAGGUUGGGUUUCCGGACGCAGGCGGUUACAAAUCCCAUGAGAGGAGGAAAAAAGUGCAGCAGACCCAAAUACAGGCGCUACAAGCAAGGGUAGACGCGAUAGAGGAACGAGAAGCAAAUCGCAGCAAACGUACUGCCGAAGCCUCCCCCGAAGCUACCCCGCCAUCUCAGGGCAGAAGCAGCGUGGCUUCCACCGAGCUGCUUCAGCUGGAGCAUGCCUUGACGGCUCCUGCCAGCUAUCCCGUGGAUGCUAUAACGGAGUCUCAAAAUUGCCACCUUAUGACGCAAUGGAUGAAUUUGAAGGUCAAGGCGGCUGUUGGCUCUAUUUAUCCUACUGAACCCGGCGCAACUUUUCACUGCCGACCGAUUCCAGAAGGAUAUGCUAGGGUGAUGGUGGAUGAGAUAACGGAGGGAUUUGAGCACCUCCAGCUUGACCACCCUACCGGUGAAGGGGAGACUCGGUUGGGGUCUGCUCUGAAGACUCCAUGCCUAUGGCGGAAGGAGCUCAUCAACCUUCCGAACUGGACGCCACCGCCUCCUCCUCCUCCUUCGGUGAGUCAGGGCACUCCGCUUCCACCGCCUCCUCCUCCGGCGAGUGACGAUCAGGGCCCUCGGUCGGCUCCUUCUCCGGCGCGUGGCGGCACUCCGCCUCCUUCUCCGCCUGCGCCGACGCGCCCGAGCAGCCAGCCUCCUCCUUCUCCGCCUCGUCAGCAAGGGCGGAAGAGACCUGCUACCGCUCCAGCUGCUCCGGCGCGUCGUAGUCCUUCUCCUCCGCCUCUUAAGCAAGUAAAGAAGACAACCGCUCCAUCUGCUCGGUCGGCGUCUAGCAGUACAACCAGAGGCGGGAGGACAUACAGAUUCGGUCCUUCUCUGAAGACUCCAGAGAAGUUACCAUAUGAGAGGACCCUGGAGGAGAACGCUGAUAUCGCGCGAGAAGAAGUGAGGAACUUCUUUGAAGCGGUGAAAGCAAAGAAACAUCCACCUCCGGAGGAGAAGGUAGAUCGGGUGAAAGUGAAGCGCACUCUGGCUGCCCUGACAAAACCACCGAAGUCUGAUCCGCUGAAAGGAAACUAUGACCGCAUUAUUGGAAAGGAAUUUGCCGAAGCGGAGCGGUCGGGAAGUACUGUCAGUGAUCAAAGGCUGAAAGAACGACGAGCUGGGAAACAAAUUGCCCAGCUUGGCGAACAAGCGAAGCAAUCGUGCCCCCCGCUCAAGGUGCCUAGCCACAACGUCGCUAAUGAUCCGAGGAUGGUUCCCGGUUAUAGCAAUCUUGCAGAUUACCUGCCCGACGAAGUACAUUAUGAACCCAUGGACGUGCAGAUACAAAGAUACGAGUACGGGAAGCCUCUCGUCAAAGAUGAAAGAUCUCUAUCAACGAUGAUGCGAAGAUUUCAUGAUUGGUACUUGAAAAUCUGCAGAGACUCUGGGGGGAGGAGUACUUUGUAUGUGAAAGUUAAAAAGGAGCAUGACCUCGUUGGAAUUGAUCUGUUGUCUGUUCCAUUUGAGGAGUUCUAUCAGUUUUUCAAUCAAUUGGCCCUCGAUAAAACAACGGUCGCCUGCUACUGUCUGUAAGUAGUACUACUUCUGUCAUUAAGUUUCUCUAUAUAGCUUAGCUCUUUCAUUGCAUGUAUUUAUAAUCAUCCUCACUAUAUUAUGCAGAUUGAAGAUCGCCGAAUUGAAGAAAAGACAAGUCAGUGAUAUUGGGUUCAUUAACACAUAUCUCAUAGAUGCAACUCAGGUUAAACUUCAUGCCGCAGCUACCGAGACCAACUUGCUACGAUCGUUCGUAAUAAAUCAAAACAAAGAUAUAAUACUCUUUCCUUACAACUUCAGGUGAGUGUUACUGUCUUGUGCGUAUUCGAUUUCCCUUAUAUAUUAGUCAAGGUUAUAGUAAUGUAAUUCAUGAGUUAUGCAUGUGUGUGCAGUUUCCACUAUAUUCUCCUAGAGAUUAAGCUUGAGCAGGGAGUAGUAACCGUCUUGGACUCUAAACGAAAAGAUCCCAAGGAGUAUGCGGACAUGACUGAAAUCCUCAAGAAGUAAGUUAAAUCGAUCAUUAUCCACCAUAUCAGCAACUUUGUUCAUUUCCUGAUAUCAAGUAAUUGUUUUCUUUGUCCGGCAGGGUUUGGAGAAAAUUCACCAAAACAGUUCCGGGACUGCCGAAGGAGCUGGAAUUUAGACACCCGAAAGUAAGUACUAUAGUAGCAUGUUCCACGCAUCUCCUAGUGAUUCAAGCGCUAGUUUCAUCAAUACCAUUUAGCAUUCUUGCUUAUCAGUUUGAUUGACCUCUAUUUCUUGUAAAGUGGUUGUGGCAGGAACAAGGGAAUGAUUUCUGUGGAUACUACAUCUGCGAGUCCAUCCGCCACACGACCUGUGAGCGGGGCGGGUACUCUAACGAACAAUAUGAAGUACGUAAAUAACAACAUUCACAAUUUUAUUUUAUUACCAUCAUUUGUGUUGAGUUUCAUUCAUUUAUAUAUAUAUAUAUAUAUAUGUAUUGACCCCCUUCUUCAAAUUAGAUGUUUCGGAAGCGGGAUGAACUCCUAGCACCAGCUCGCAUGCGAGCAAUUCAAGAGGAAUUGGCGGCAUUCUUUCUUGACCACAUGAUCCCUGAAGACGGAGAAUUCUAUGUGGACCCUGAGUCCGUAUGAUUAUAUUUGUAAGAGAUAAUUAUUGUAUAUAUGUAGCCGGUAGUGUCAGAUAGAUAUACGAGAACUUGUUGUUAGACCAAUCUCUCGGAGAAGGAGAGGUGGUCGAUAUCACUUGUCUCUGUAUGCAUAUAUGUUCAUGACGAUCUUCUGUUUCCUUCGUUUGCUUACUAGCUAGCUAGCGUGUCUAGUCCUCUCUAUACGUAUGUAUAGUACGUAGCAUCGACCAAGCACGGACAUAACAGAGGACACUUCUCUCUAUUAAUUAUAGCUAGCUAACACAAUAUAUGAAACACCNNNNNNNNNNNNNNNNNNNNNNNNNNNNNNNNNNNNNNNNNNNNNNNNNNNNNNNNNNNNNNNNNNNNNNNNNNNNNNNNNNNNNNNNNNNNNNNNNNNNNNNNNNNNNNNNNNNNNNNNNNNNNNNNNNNNNNCUUUCAAAAAAAACAAAAACCCCAGCCACAGAAGUGCUGACGCGUGGAUGCCUAUUGGUCCCGGUUGGUGCCACCAACCGGGACCAAAGGGUCUCCUGACUGGGCUCUGCGCACUGCCCACGUGGAGGGCCUUUAGUCCCGGUUCUGGAUUGAACCGGGAACUAAAGGGGGAGGUAUUAGUACCGACACUUUAGUCCCGGUUCCGGAACCGGGACUAAAGGCCCUUACGAACCGGGACUAUAGGCCCUUUUUCUACCAGUGGUGUUUCGCGUGUGUAAAUCUGUCUUACACCCAUUGUAUGUGAACGUUAGAAUCUAUCACACCCGAUCAUCACAUGGUGCUUCGAAACAACAAACUGUCGCAACGGUGCACAGUUAGGGGGAACACCUUCUUGAAAUUAUUAUGAGGGAUCAUCUUAUUUACUACCGUCGUUCUAAGUAAACAAGAUGCAAAAACAUGAUAAACAUCACAUGCAAUCAAAUAGUGACAUGAUAUGGCCAAUAUCAUAUUGCUCCUUUUGAUCUCCAUCUUCGGGGCUCCAUGAUCAUCAUCGUCACCGGCAUGACACCAUGAUCUCCAUCAUCAUGAUCUCCAUCAUUGUGUCUCCUUGAAGUUGUCUCGUCAACUAUUACUUCUACUACUACAGCUAACGGUUAGCAAUAAAGUAAAGUAAUUACAUGAUGUUUAUGUUGACACGCAGGUCAUAAAUAAAUUAAGACAACUCCUAUGGCUCCUGCCGGUUGUCAUACUCAUCGACAUGCAAGUCGUGAUUCCUAUUACAAGAACAUGAUCAAUCUCAUACAUCACAUAUAUUAUUCAUCACAUCCUUUUGGCCAUAUCACAUCACAUAGCAUACCCUGCAAAAACAAGUUAGACGUCCUCUAAUUGUUGUUUGCAUGUUUUACGUGGCUGCUAUGGGUUUCUAGCAAGAACGUUUCUUACCUACGCAAAAACCACAACGUGAUAUGCCAAUUGUUAUUUACCCUUCAUAAGGACCCUUUUCACCGAAUCCGACCCGACUAAAGUGGGAGAGACAGACACCCUCUAGCCACCUUAUGCAAGUAGUGCAUGUCAGUCGGUGGAACCAGUCUCACGUAAGAGUACGUGUAAGGUCGGUCCGGGCCGCUUCAUCCCACGAUGCCGCCGAAUCAAGAUAAGACUAGUAACGGCAAGCAUAUUGAACAAAAUCAACGCCCACAACUACUUUGUGUUCUACUCGUGCAUAGUAACUACGCAUAGACCUAGCUGAUGAUGCCACUGGUGGGGAACGUAGCAAUAAUUCAAAAUUUUCCUACGUGUCACCAAGAUCUAUCUAUGGAGUCAUCUAGCAACGAGGGAGGAGUGGAUCUACAUACCCUUGUAGAUCGCGCGUGGAAGCGUUCAAGAGAACGGGGUUGAUGGAGUCGUACUCGUCGUGAUCCAAAUCACCGAUGAUCCUAGCGCCGAACGGACGGCACCUCCGCGUUCAACACAUGUACGGAGCAGCGAUGUCUCCUCCUUGUUGAUCCAGCAAGGGGGGAGGAGAGGUUGAUGGAGAUCCAACAGCACGACGGCGUGGUGGUGGAAGUAGCGGGAUUCCAACAGGGCUUCGCCAAGCGCUGCGGGAGGAGGGAGAUGUGUCAUGGGAGGGAGAGGGAGGCGCCAGGGCUUAGGUGUGGUUGCCCUCCCUUCCCCCCCACUAUAUAUAGGGCCAAGGGAGAGGGGGGCGCAGCCUUGGCCCUUCCUUCAAGGAAGGGUGCGGCCAAGGGAGGAGUCCCUCCUCCCCAAGGCACCUCGGAGGUGCCUUCCCCCUUUAGGACUCUUCCUUUCCCUCUUCUCUUAGCACAUGGGCCUCUUGGGGCUGGUGCCCUUGGCCCAUAUAGGCCAAGGCGCACCCCCUACAGCCCAUGUGCCCCCCGGGGCAGGUGGCCCCACCCGAUGGACCCCCGGGACCCUUCCGGUGGUCCCGGUACAAUAUACUGGUGACCCCGAAACUUGUCCCGAUGGCCGAAAUAGCACUUCCUAUAUAUAAUUCUUUACCUCCCGACCAUUCCGGAACUCCUCGUGACGUCCGGGAUCUCAUCCGGGACUCCGAACAACUUUCGGGUUACUGCAUACUAAUAUCUCUAUAACCCUAGCGUCACCGAACCUUAAGUGUGUAGACCCUACGGGUUCGGGAGACAUGCAGACAUGACCGAGAUGACUCUCCGGUCAAUAACCAACUGCGGGAUCUGGAUACCCAUGUUGGCUCCCACAUGUUCCACGAUGAUCUCAUCGGAUGAACCACGAUGUCAAGGACUUAAUCAAUCCCGUAUACAAUUCCCUUUGUCUAUCGGUACGACACUUGCCCGAGAUUCGAUCGUCGGUAUCCCGAUACCUUGUUCAAUCUCGUUACCGGCAAGUCUCUUUACUCGUUUCGUAACACAUCAUCCCGUGAUCAACUCCUUGAUCACAUUGUGCACAUUAUGAUGAUGUCCUACCGAGUGGGCCCAGAGAUACCUCUCCGUUUACACGGAGUGACAACUCCCAGUCUCGAUUCGUACCAACCCAACAGACACUUUCGGAGAUACCUGUAGUGUACCUUUAUAGCCACCCAGUUACAUUGUGACGUUUGGCACACCCAAAGCACUCCUACGGUAUCCGGGAGUUGCACAAUCUCAUGGUCUAAGGAAAUGAUACUUGACAUUAGAAAAGCUUUAGCAUAUGAACUACAUGAUCUUGUGCUAGGCUUAGGUUUGGGUCUUGUCCAUCACAUCAUUCUCCUAAUGAUGUGAUCCCGUUAUCAAUGACAUCCAAUGUCCAUGGUCAGGAAACCGUAACCAUCUAUUGAUCAACGAGCUAGUCAACUAGAGGCUUACUAGGGACAUGGUGUUGUCUAUGUAUCCACACAUGUAUCUGAGUUUCCUAUCAAUACAAUUCUAGCAUGGAUAAUAAACGAUUAUCAUGAACAAGGAAAUAUAAUAAUAAUCAAUUUAUUAUUGCCUCUAGGGCAUAUUUCCAACACAUAUAUCUUUGAAGAGACAGUGAACUGGCUCUUUAUCUUUAAAAGCAACUCCCCUGCGGAAGUGCACUCUGCAAUGGAGCCCACAAUGGUGCUCUCAAUUGUAUUCUUUAUAAAUGCCAUGCACUUUUUGUUUGCAUUGACCCACUUUUGGUUUUCUAUGUGUAUGACAUCUCCAAAGGAGCAUAAUCUCCCCUUUUUUUAGCCCAUGCAACAUCAUCAUCAGUAGCCUCUCUUACUGGCUCUGUAGGUCUGACCGACUGUGGUUCAUCCAGAACCCAGUCCAGAUCAACACAAACAAAGGCCAGUUCAACUUUCUUCCUCUACUCAGUGUGAUUGUCACCUCUGAGUGUCGGAACAUCUUUUAGGCAACUUAUCAAGUGAAAGCCUCCUGAAAUCAUAAUUUUAAGUGACAUCAGUAUAACAAUCAUAUGCAUUAAUCUAACGUUGGUCAAAUUAAACAUACAAUUGUCUAUGUAAUUAAAUCUAUAUUACCGUUGGGCAAAAUAUUAGAAAUAAAUGCACCUUUAAAUUUCAGUAAUAAAACAUGAUCAUGUUAUUAACAAGGUUGGUCAUAAAAAUAACAUAAUCAUAUUCAUUUUAAUAAUCACUUUAACAUGCUCUUAAAAAUAAUACUAUGUAAACUUUUAUUUUCUUUGUAAAAGAGCACUAAUUAUUUACACAGCGGAAAAACAUGAAUAAAAAAAUCUAUGAACUUUUUAUUAUUUACAGAAACUUUCUUUGACCAAAUAAAAAAUCAUGAACUUUAUUAUUCUCAAUUCAUGAACAUUUCUUUUCAGAAUUUGCAUUUUACUUUUCAGAAACGCUCUAUUUUUUGAACAAUCAAAAAAUAUCAGAAACUUUUCUAUUUACUUUUCAGAGACCUUUCUUUUUCUGGAAAAUAAAAAAUUAGCCGCAGCAUAACCCAGCGCGCGCGGCCCUAAGCGGAAAAAGCCAGCCCACGGCCUGGCCUGCAUGCCGCCUGUGGCUGUGGCCUCGGCCCAGCGCCAGCGCGCGCUGCUGCCACCGGCCUCGUCCACUUUUGGCCCAGAAGGCCCACAAUGCUCUAGGGUUUAGAUCUUUGUCGUCCAUCGCGAUCCGACGGUGCCUCGUGGCUUUCGCUGGAUCAAAACCAGCAUGCGACACAACGGAGGGGAAAACCCUCGUGCACUUCCCCCGUGCGCGCCGCUCUCCUCCCUUUUUCUCUCCGGGUGUUGCUGUCCCGCUCCCCGGGCCGCCGUGCCGCGGUACCAGGCCGGCCGCCGGCCACCGGAGACGGGGCUGAUAGCCACCGCUCCCGCAAGCUCUUCUCCCUCCCCCCUUUUUCUCUUUGUGUGAUCCUGUGGCAGAGAGAGAGGAGCCCAUCCUCCGAUCUGUCUCCUCGCAACGGGGUCGGGGCUCCGCCGGCCGGCAGUGGCGACAGCGCGCCACCGCGCCGCGCGAGCACCCUUUUCCCCUUCCCCUUCUUUUCUUUUUAUUUCCUUCUUCUCUCUAUCCACCGAAGCCAGUGAGAGAGAGAGAGAGAGAUCAGCGACGCCAACAGAGCCCUGCUCUGCUCCUUUGUGCGAUACAACGGCGCCUCCCCCGCCCCCCUUGCCGGUGCGCGCGAGCUCCCGAAGGAGAGCGCGCCACCGUCAAGCGGUUCGGUGCUGGUGCCCUUUGCCCCUUGCGGGUUAGUGUUCUUCAUCCUGGAUCCUCGGCGUGCCAAUGCUAUUCGGGAUCGAGAGGAACGACGCGGCCGGAGCGGCGGCACAACUUUUCUCUGAGAAUUCUUUGCCCUCUUUUUGCUGUUAGGGUUCUUUGGGGAGGGGAAUUUUUUUUCUUUGUGACCUAUAUCAACCGAAAAAUCCUAUACCCAACCUGUCUGAUACCAUUGAUAGAUCACUGGAUCGGUUAGGGUUAGGAAUUCUCCGGUAGACCUACCUUCUGCCUGACCAGACGAGCUCGAUCCAGCGCUGGCCAUGGUGAUGUGGUGACGGCGGCGAUGUCGACAGAGAGUGGAUGGCGGCAGUGGUGGAGCUUCCCGUGAGCACAACGCUAACCCUAGAUCGGUAGGGAGUGUUCGAUGGGGUUUGUGACAGCGAUCAACCUCGUGAGUCGUGCCCCGACCCCCACCUCUGUUAUAUAGCGCGGGUCACAGGGGCCCACCAACCAUGGUUUGGUUGGGCGCCUCCGAUCAGGGCGAGGGGCCGUUCGACCCAUUGGGUUCGAACGGGAUAGAGAUCAACCUAACACCUUCCAUACGCUGGGGUGCAACGCGGAGCAUCCCACCCAUGUCACCGCUAUGCUCCACACAUGCAUGGUUGUCGGGCAGUCCUAGAUGAGGUGCACCGAGCUCUCGAGGUUGCGCAUGCAUGGCAGAAAUAUCCGUUUGGCCAUCCGCACCGUUGUAGCCUGUCAUUGCACCACAGCCGGUUCAAGUGGAGCAGCCACAGAAACAUCUUGUUCUUGCCCGACGCCCACCCUUUCCAUAUGAUCUUCUUGAAGCAGCAAGUGUUAUUUCCGUCUAGCUAGACCUUGUAUGCCGAGCUGUUGGAGUAGCGGCCCGAGCCGAUGAGGUUCCACGAGAUGGUGUCUCGAGUGUGCUGAUCCAGCACCGGCGCCGCUGCCCGGAACUCCCUUGCCAGCAUAGUGGCCUAUUGUAUGAUGCCCUCCUCGUCGCUGUGCCUUAGGUCGAGGAUCGACCUGCCUCCUGUAGUGCAACCCGCACCGUUCUAUUCUUCCUGGUAGAGUGGUUGAACAUCAGGGGGUAGGCGUCGCACAUCGGGCGUCCCUCGAGCCAGCUGCAGUGCCAGAAGGUCAUCGCGUCACCGUUGCUGAUGGUGGCCGUCGUUGAUGCCGCGAAGAGGGCGCGAUCGCCGUUGUUGCGGGCCAUGCCGGUGCCCACCCAUGGUCUCGCCGGCUGCCGCAAGCUCCACCAGAGCCAUCUUAGCUGCAGAGCGUGUGCAAAGCGCGGUAAGUCAUGGAUGCCAAGGCCACAACUACUUUCCGGCUCCGUAAUGAGCUUCCAAGCCACCUUGCAUUUCCCUCCCGAUACCUUCUCAUCUUGCGCGCAGAGGAAACGGCGACGCGCCUUGUCGAUGUCUUUGAAGAGCUUCUUGGGCGCCCGACGGACAGUGAGUGCGAAGGUUGGCAUGGCCGAGAGGACACAUCGCACCAAGACACGCCGUCUGGCUAGUGGCAUGAGCCUGCCCUUCCACCCAGCCAACCACGUGCGAAUUCUGUCAAGUAUGAACCACCCUAGUCCUGCCUAUCAUGACAGGGAGGCCAAGAUAUCUGAUUGGGAUGCCUGUUGUCUGCCCGCCACAAUUCAAAAGGACGUCGCCGAGGUCUACGUCGUCGUAGCAGAUGGGGACCACAGAGGAUUUUGGCGGGCUGACACGCACCCCGUGGCCUCACCGAAGAGCUUGAGAACCUCCAUCAGUGCGCCGAUCUCCUCCCGGGAUGUGUUCGCGAAGAUAAUGGCGUCGUCGGCGUACAAGCUGACCCGUAGCCUUGCCGCGCUGCCCGGUAUUGGCUGCAGGAUCCCCGCACGCGCCGCCCGUACUAGUAGCCGAUGCAGCGGGUCGAUCACGAUGAUGAAGAGGAGGGACGAGAGGGGGCCCCCCUGUUGCAACCCACAACGUGGAAGAUGAUCUCGCGGGGGGUGCCGCUCAGCAGGCAGGCCGAUGCAGAGGUUUACAGCAGGGAAGAGAUCCAGUUUCUCUAGCAUGCAUUGAAUCCCAACCGCUGCAUCAGAUCGAGUAGCUACUCCCAUGAGACGCUAUCAAAGGCCUUGGCUAUGUCUAGUUUCAGAAGGAGCACUGGGGUUUUGCUGCGGUGCAGAGCUCUGAUAGUGUUAUGCACGUACAUGAAGUUGUCCUGAAUGCACUUGUUCUUCUGGAAGGCAGUCGGCGCCUAGAGAGCACUUUAGCGAUCAGCUUCGCGACGGAGUGUAUCAGGUUGAUGGGUCGGUAGUCACCAACAGUGGUGGCCCCUUCCUUCUUGGGCAGCAGGAAGAUCAUCACUAGGUUCAGGUCGCUGAAGUCCCCCCUAGCAAGCUUGUAGAAGUGGUCAAAGACGGCCAUGACAUCGGUCUUGAUUGUGCCCUAGCAGGCCCAGAAGAACGUGCCCGAGAAGCCGUCAGGGCCCAGCACCUUGUCCAUCGGCGAUGCCAUGAUCGCCUCCCACACAUCGGCUUAUGAGAAAGGGUUGUCCAAUCCCUCGUUCUGUAUUCGUGGCAGCUCAAUGGCAUCCCAGUUUAGAGUUCGUCCCCUUGUACGCACCGUGUCCAGCAGCUCUGUGAAGUGGUGGUGCACCACAGCGGCCUUGUCGGCCAUUUAUCACUGAGUUUCAGUGGAGUUUGUGCUCUGUUCUUGACCAUGCCUCCUUUUUUGUUGUUGUUUUUGAUGUUUCCGUUUUUUUGGUUUGGUGAUUUUGAUGGACUUUCUCAGGGUAUCGUACCGUGCAGUCGGGUUUCUGGGUUGCAUGGUGUCAUUAGGUCCAUUACCAUCCGACCAUGUCCACGUAAAACUCAUUAAUUCUUUUGUGUUGAACCUUCUGCACUAAUCAACUAGAAUUUUUCUUCUAUUUCUUUCCUACUUCUAAAGUUUUGAGUUGAUGGUCAUCCGUUCACUUUCAAUGCAACACCUCCUCUCGAACCAGACAGCUGACACACAACCAAGCCAUACUAGUGACACACAACCAAGCCAUACUAGUGACCAAAGCAUACUAGAAGUUGCUAUGGGCUACAAUGCAAAUAAAUGAAUCAAAUAAAUGAUUAAGGUCGUUUUCAAGUCCAUGACUCAUUUCUCCCUCAUAUGUUCAGGCUACUUCGGACGUCAAAUAGGUGUCCAACGGGUUCCCCAAAAUUCAACCGUCUACACAGUCCAGGCUCCCUAUCUCAUAUGUGGGAGAGAAAUGUGAUUAUCCGUACUAUGCGUCAUGUUAUCUCCAAUACGCGGUCCCAGUAUAAAAACCCCACCCCACGCUGCCGUUGGAAAUAUGCCGUAGAGGCUAUAAUAUUGUAUUAUUAUAUUUUUAUUUUCAUAAUUAAGACUUUAUAUUUCAUGCUAUAACUGCUAUGAUUCUGGAAUAUGUGAUUGAGUGAAAAACUCAUAUGCACGCGUGAGAUGAUAAACGGUAAAAUAUAGGUUCCGGGUCUUGCCUCUAAGACUGGCUCUAGUGUUGUUGGUGAUCAUCUUUUCUCGAUCUCAGGAUAUCGUUAAGUGUAAAGAUAGUCAUGAAAGAACAUUGAGAGUAUGACAUUAGAAGAACGAUCAUACUGAAUCAACCCAAUCUUGUUUGUUAUACUUUGAGAUAAUGUCAUCUGAAAUCAAUUGUUAUAACAUAGAGCGUUAGCAUGUGUUUUAGUUUCUCAGACCAUGAGAGUAUCUUAGUCAGUUUGUACCGUACAAUGGACUUUGGGGUUGCUCAAAUGUCAUAUGUAACUAGGUGAUUAUAACGACAGCUUACAGGUUCAGGAAAAAGUUUGACAAGGGAAUAGAAAGGCUUGAGGAACAACACUUAUCACACGAAAAAGGCUCGUACCGCGCUUUAUAUAUAAAGCACUGACCACAACAACCAUCCGGAUACAAACACUAUACCACCACACUCUAGGGUAGAAACAUAGAUGUUGAAGCUCAGCUACAUCCAGAUACCACCAAGAAAACGAAAUAUAAGCAACAAAGCACCACUUGAGGUAAAUGAAGCAUAGCCGGACAUCGAUGAGCCGAGGCCUACAAAGUGGCGCCUUCAGGAAGGACACGACACAAGAGUGCCGUCACAGCCUGAUCGAAUUGAUUUGGGAUUUCACCUAGAGUGUCCCGGAGAGGAUCGAGUAGCCGUGAUGAUGCCUUUAGGAAGGAGGCGACGCCCACGGGCGUCGUUACCGGGUUUUCACCCCAGCUCGCAUGAUCCAAGCCCGAAAUAGGUAUGUGCACAGCCAUACCACCACCACCUACCGUCGAUCACCAGCCACCACGCCGCCCUCAUGGCCAUGAUAGCUGGCGAGCAUCCGAGCCAUGGGCUCCGCCCACAAGCACCGUCGCGGCUAGGGUUUCCCCCCGGACGCUCGCGGGAGCAUCGCGGGAGGGAGGGGGGAGAGAGAGACGGGUCAACUUCCGAACAACACUUAUCAGGGUACAAAAGAAAGGGUUGAGGAACAGAACGAAGAACCGGUAGAGACCCAUGAAUGAAUCUCCCGCGACUGACGCAGAAAUGGACAAUUCUUGACAAAUUUCCACGGAGCUUAGGGAAUGUGCCAUUUAUAAGCCCACUUAUUGGUCUAACAGUUCAAGAAAGGUUUUUACCGGGAAAAUGAAUUAUCGAGCUACUAAACGGGCCUUGUGGCGCCACUUACAUCCCAAGCAGAGUUACUGUAAAAUUCACGCGUUCCAAACAGACCACGAAGACGACACAACAAGCCGACCGGAGAAAUUCAGGCCAUUCCAGCAUCAGGAUUAUGAUGAAGUUCUUCUUCACCCAACAAAGUGUUUCGUUUGGGUGUGUUACGCGAGCAACAGCAGGCUCAGGCAGCUCAAUUGGAAUGCACAACAAACAAGUAGCAACGAGGACUUAAGUUUAGCUCCCACAUUCGGUACAUGAUAGAGCAAACAUAAUAAACUGAAACAUCCGGCAAAUCAUCGAAUUAACAACAUCCUAACUUACAACAUUAUAAGCUCAUAAACCCUAGCUUUUCGACUAAGUAAGGCUGAUGGGUACCAUUGACUAAGUAAGCACACAACAACCCCCCAAUUCAAGCUCAAACUGGCUGGCAUUGCCAUGGGGCCGCACAGCACGGUGGUUUUCGG
rnacentral:lncRNA from 1 species